rnacentral:rRNA from 1 species
GAUAAACGCUGGCGGCGCACAUAAGACAUGCAAGUCGAACGGACUUAACCAUUAGUUUACUAUUGGAGCGGUUAGUGGCGGACUGGUGAGUAACACGUAAGCAACCUGCCUAUCAGAGGGGAACAACAGUUAGAAAUGACUGCUAAUACCGCAUAUGCCUUAGAAUCACAUGAUUCAAAAGGGAAAGAAGUAAUUCGCUGAUAGAUGGGCUUGCGUCUGAUUAGAUAGUUGGUGAGGUAACGGCCCACCAAGUCGACGAUCAGUAGCCGGACUGAGAGGUUGAACGGCCACAUUGGGACUGAGAUACGGCCCAGACUCCUACGGGAGGCAGCAGUCGGGAAUAUUGCGCAAUGGAGGAAACUCUGACGCAGUGACGCCGCGUGCAGGAAGAAGGUUUUCGGAUUGUAAACUGCUUUAGACAGGGAAGAAACAAGACAGUACCUGUAGAAUAAGCUCCGGCUAACUACGUGC